CCUUAUCCCUCCACCUCAUUCUUUCUCUCUCCUCACCCAUCAGCAAAUCCGUUCCCUUCCUCUCUUAUAGCAAGACCCAUUCCUUCAUUCCAUUGUCAAUUUUCUCAUCCUCUGAACGUUGCUUUCUUUCUUCAAACAUUCAUUCAUUUCUUUUAUUUGUCUUUUCUCGUCACUCACCCUCUCUUCGUUUCUUCUUGCUGAAGCACACCACCACCAUCAUGAAACCAUGUGGACAGCACCACAAAUCCACUACAACCAUGCCAUUUUCUUCUUCUCGACCAAGGCUAUUAUCAAGCUUUCUCCACUUCCAAUUAUUUCCAAGAAGCCAUGCACGCAACCAGCCUUCAUUCUUCCCUCUGUUUAACACAGCCGAGAGCUCCUCCAUGAAAAAAAAGGGGACAAUCACUACAAAGAGAAGGAGCCACGAUAGCAUAGGCACACUACCACCAUCAUCUUCAUCUUCAUCUUCUCAUUUUAUGGGUACGAAUAACGGGAGCGCUUGACGACGAAACCAAAGAACAAAAAAAAGAAGCGAGCCGACACGGGAAAGCAAGGAUGUGUUUGGAUUGGAGUUGCAGUUUAAGAAAGAAAUUGGCUAAGGUGCUUUUGAGGAUUUCUCGGAGGACCAACACUUUGAGUGCGAGGAAGCACUAGUUGAUCAUUCUGGAGAACUUUCAGGUGAGGGCUUCUCAAUGAAUCUCUAGUUAAUGCUUAGGGUCGUUAUUUCGACAUUGUUUACUGUUUAUGCACUGAGAUUGUGUGUGAUUGAAAAUGUUUUCUGAGGCUUCGGCUGACAAUGUAGAUGAUUCAUCUACUGAAUGUUUUUGAAGAUUGACUUACAUGCUAUGUGCUAUGUGGGUAAUCUAGGAUGUGUGGUGCAUGCUUUAUAUGCUAAGUGCUAAGUGUUAAUGUUGAGAUUUCUUGAUAUAUGACAUGUUGUUGAUUGUGAUGAUUUAAAUAUGCUUUACACUGGAAAUCUGAGAUUCUGAAUGGUGAGGAUAGCGGGCAGGUCAUGCCGAUUUUAUUUUGAGAGUUUUGAGAAAGUUUGAUAGGACGAACGAGGUUCGGGCCUUGAUUUUGUUUUAGUGGAUCGAGACAUCCUCUGGAAGCGACUUGGGAUUGGGAGAUCCUGCAAAUGUAUAAGACUUGCGAUAAGACAAAAUGGAAUCUAUUUUAUAAAGAAAACUCAUAAGACCUUAAAUAACCUCUAAAUCUUUAAGUAAUGAUAACAACCUCGAAGGAAGGCAUUGGAAGUGAAAUCUUAAUUUUGGGAAAACGAGGAGUGUCGUCGGAUCCAAGUGUUGAGUAUGUUGUCAUUGUGCUGUUGGAGCAGCGUUUGAUGUUGUGCUGUUGGAGCAGCGUUUGAUGUUGUGCUGUUGGAGCAGCGUUUAUUGUUGUGCUGUUGGAGCAGCGUGUGUUAUUGUGCUGUUGGAGCAGCGUGUGUUGUGGUGCUGUUGGAGCAGCUAUGUGUCGUUAUGAAGUGUGUCUUUUGGUCGCAGAAUCGACUUUACCUUAGGGUAAGCUUUUAGAGACUUUAACUUCCCUAGAACACGUGGCGACGUGUCGAGUGAGGUCGGAGACGUUGUUUGACUA